rnacentral:rRNA from 1 species
UACGAAGGGGGCUAGCGUUGCUCGGAAUCACUGGGCGUAAAGCGCACGUAGGCGGCUUCUUAAGUCAGGGGUGAAAUCCUGGAGCUCAACUCCAGAACUGCCUUUGAUACUGGGGAGCUCGAGUCCGGGAGAGGUGAGUGGAACUGCGAGUGUGGAGGUGAAAUUCGUAGAUAUUCGCAAGAACACCAGUGGCGAAGGCGGCUCACUGGCCCGGUACUGACGCUGAGGUGCGAAAGCCAGGGGAGCAAACGGG